ACCGUACGCCAAAAUACGGUAAUUUCGUAAUUUCAAUUGCGAUUUUUUUUUUGAGCUCAUUGUAAUAGUGACUUUUGAAAUUGUAAUGUAUCGAUAAAAAUUGACAUAUUCUGGGGAAAACUCCAAAAAUAUACAAAUGAAAUGGGUGUAUUUGAAUUCCAGAAAUUGUCACAGUUCGUACUAAAUAUAUUAUCCCUUCCACACUCAAAUGCUGAAUGCGAAAGAGUCUUCAGUAAAAUAAACUUGGUUAAAACAAAAUCAAGAAAUAAGUUAAUAACUAAUACAAUCAAUGGUUGUUUAUUAACGUCUCAGUGUGUGAAAAAAGAUGGUAACUGCGUAGAUUUUACACCUACUCAGAAUAUUAUCGAAGUUGAUGAAGAUGAAUUUGUCAUAGACGGUUGAAAUAUAAAUUUUUGAAAAGAGGACACAUGAAGACAUGAAUGCAAAUCAUAUUUAUGUUACAAUGGAAUCAGAAGGUUUUACAGAAGCAAGUAGCAGUUCGGCCACCCCCAAACGUAGUGGUAGUAAGCUGAGCCCCUUAACCAUUAUUUCAGAAAUGGCUCAGUUAUUAGAAAUGUUUUUUGAAAGAUGCCAGCUUUUCUACUCAUGUCUCUGUGUAGAAAUUAGAAAACGGUAUGAUUUCGACAAUUUUAUUUUGCCAAAAUUGCAGAUAUUUGUGCCUAAAAAUGCAAUUUCUUCAGAUAUACACCAGCAGUUCCCAUCAUUAGCUCAUUUGCUCCAAAAUAUGACACGUUUUUAUGACAGUAGUGAAGGUCAACUAAUCGAUGAACAGUGGAGGUUGCUGCCAGAAUACCAUUUUACUGCUGAUGAAAAGCUGAUGAAAAAGAAUAGACAUCAACGAGGACAUUGACAUAUUCUGGGGAAAACUCCAAAAAUAUACAAAUGAAAUGGGUGUAUUUGAAUUCCAGAAAUUGUCACAGUUCGUACUGAAUAUAUUAUCCCUUCCGCACUCAAAUGCUGAAUGCGAAAAAGAGUCUCUAGUAAAAUAAACUUGGUUAAAACAAAAUCAAGAAAUAAGUUAAUAACUAAUACAAUCAAUGGUUGUUUAUUAACGUCUCAGUGUGUGAAAAAAGAUGGUAACUGCGUAGAUUUUACACCUACUCAGAAUAUGUAUGCAAGAAUGAACAAAAUUGAUAUGUAUUCUAAUUCUUCCAGUUCUAGUAUCGAAGUUGAUGAAGAUGAAUUUGUCAUAGACGGUUGAAAUAUAAAUUUUUGAAAAGAGGACACAUGAAUGCAAAUCAUAUUUAUGUUACAAUGGAAUCAGAAGGUUUUACAGAAGCAAGUAGCAGUUCGGCCACCCCCAAACGUAGUGGUAGUAAGCUGAGCCCCUUAACCAACCAGAGAAUUGAAAGAAUGAAGGCUAAAAUCAAUUCUUUGAAGUGCAAAAUAUUUAGGCGUAAAGUUCCCCACUGUUU